rnacentral:rRNA from 1 species
AGCGAACGCUGGCGGCAGGCCUAACACAUGCAAGUCGAGCGCCGUAGCAAUACGGAGCGGCAGACGGGAGAGUAACACGUGGGAACGUACCCUUUGGUUCGGAACAACCCAGGGAAACUUGGGCUAAUACCGGAUAAGCCCUCACGGGGAAAGAUUCAUCGCCGAAGGAGCGGCCCGGGUCUGAUUAGCUAGUUGGUGGGGUAAUGGCCCACCAAGGCGACGAUCAGUAGGUGGUCUGGGAGGAUGAUCAGCCUCACCGGGACCGGGACCCGGCCCAGACUCCUACGGGGGGCAGGAGUGGGGAAUAUUGGACAAUGGGCGCCAGCCUGAUCCAGCCAUGCCGCGUGGGUGAUGAAGGCCCUAGGGUUGUAAAGCCCUUUCGGCGGGGAAGAUAAUGACGGUACCCGCAGAAGAAGCCCCGGUUAACUUCGUGCCAGCAGCCGCCGUAAAAC